rnacentral:sRNA from 1 species
AUAUAAGGAAACAUAUUUGCAAAUGUAAAUGUUGAUAAAUAAUGGUCUAACAAUAAGCAUGAAAAAAAUCAUUCAUCCCUUGACCUAACGGUUGAAAGGGUCGUUGUAUUGAUCAUAGAACUAACGAAAUGAUAACUUCGAUCAAGACUUGAUAUUCUUGUUUUAUUAAGUUGACAACUUGUUUGUCAGUAGCUAAUACCUCUUACGAUUGAUCAUACGUCGAACAAGCCCUUGCGUUUCGAAUCAACAUGUAUAUUGCUACAUAUAUAGAAAAAGGUUUGCUAAGAAUGGCGCACAAUUGGCACUCAUGGGAAUUCAACAGAUUGUUGGAAGACCUGAUUUCCAAUAAUUACAUAUAAUCGGUCAAUUAGAAACGAAAGCAUUUCUUUUAUUUUAUCUCCAGAAUAUAUGUAAACCCAAUGAUUUAUUCUAAAUAUCAAAUGAUAAAUAUUUCACUUUUUGUGAUACUACCUUAUCUUAUCACUCAAUGCUAUAUAAACCACUAUUUUAUAUUUAUUCCGUGUGCGAGAUAAUUUUAAAAUCCUGUAAUCUAUUGAUUGAGACACAUAGACUUGUUGAAUGGCAAGAGCUUACUACCCCACAACGGAACACGACCCUAAAUAAUCUGGGACAGGAUUUCAUGGAUCUUCGGAGAUUCUUCCUGGUUUCUAUUCAAUGGCUUGUUGGGGUUACCAUGGAUGUUCUGUUUGAUGCUUGCAAUGACACCUUUCUGUCGAAUAAUGGUAGAGGUUCCAUGUCGUCGGGUUAUAUUCCUAUUGAAGCUGCUACUUGUGUGUUUUGGUCAAGCAAUAACUGGCAUAUUCUGAACACAUUUGUUGGACAUCACACCACACUGGCGUGUCCAACAUUGAGCCAAUGCAAUUCAUCCAAAACAUUUUCAUGGCGAUGGAUGAAUGGGAUGCUUCCGGUCUCAAAAGGCAUCGAAUACAAACAGUUUUGCGAGAUUAAUGCUACCGGAUGCUGUGAAAAUAAAACCAGCAUGAAAAUCAGCGCCUGUUUACCUGUCAGUGUAUAUUUUAAUCGUAACUCUACGGGCUGUGUUGAGGCUCAUUGUUAUGUGAACUCUUGGAACAAAUAUGAGCAGUGUGAACAACAGAAACGAAACAUGUCGAUGUACCAAUACAUCUUCAGCUGGCAUCCCGAUUUGGACAAUUUGCCUCAUAGCAAUUCUGAUUGCAUCAAUUAUUUGUCUUACACUAGGAUCACUAUGGCGAAAUGUUAACUUACAGCGCAAAACACAUGACGUUGAUGACCAAGCUCACGCACAAGCAGUUAUUAGGAAACCCGUUGAAAUUCGAAAAAAUCGGAUUGAUGAUAAAUAAAAGAUAUCUUCUGAUUAAGAAGAAUGUUGUACGUGCUUUUGUGGCAAUUGCUCCAUUCAUUUGUUAAUAGUUGCAAUUUAAUGUGCAUAUUCUCGUCUGCGUCAAAUGUUUCUAUUCAGGCACGUAGCAUCGGGG